rnacentral:rRNA from 1 species
AGAUUGAACGCUGGCGGCAGGCCUAACACAUGCAAGUCGAGCGGUAGAGAGGUGCUUGCAUCUCUUGAGAGCGGCGGACGGGUGAGUAAUGCCUAGGAAUCUGCCUAGUGGUGGGGGAUAACGUUCGGAAACGGACGCUAAUACCGCAUACGUCCUACGGGAGAAAGCGGGGGACCUUCGGGCCUCGCGCCAUUAGAUGAGCCUAGGUCGGAUUAGCUAGUUGGUGAGGUAAUGGCUCACCAAGGCGACGAUCCGUAACUGGUCUGAGAGGAUGAUCAGUCACACUGGAACUGAGACACGGUCCAGACUCCUACGGGAGGCAGCAGUGGGGAAUAGUUGGACAAUGGGCGCAAGCCUGAUCCAGCAAUGCCGCGUAGAGUGAUGAAGGCCUUAGGUUAGUAAGCUUACUUUACCCGA